rnacentral:SRP_RNA from 1 species
GCCGGGCAGGGUGGCAUGUGCCUGUAAUCCCAGCUACUUGGGAGGCUGAGGCAGGGAAUCAUUUGAACCCGGGACGUGGAGGUUGCAGUGAGCCAAGAUCGUGCUACUGCACUCCUGCCUGGGCAACAGAGUGAAAAUUUUUAUUUAUUUAUUUAUUUAUGUUUUUGAAACAGAGUCUCACUCUGUUGCCCAGGCUGGAGUGCAGUGGCAUGAUCUGGGCUCACUGCAACCUCCACCUCCUGGGUUCAAGCGAUUCUCCUGCCUCAG